CAGCCGCCGCGGUAAUACAGAGGGUGCGAGCGUUAAUCGGAUUUACUGGGCGUAAAGCGUGCGUAGGCGGCUUCUUAAGUCGGAUGUGAAAUCCCUGAGCUUAACUUAGGAAUUGCAUUCGAUACUGGGAAGCUAGAGUAUGGGAGAGGAUGGUAGAAUUCCAGGUGUAGCGGUGAAAUGCGUAGAGAUCUGGAGGAAUACCGAUGGCGAAGGCAGCCAUCUGGCCUAAUACUGACGCUGAGGUACGAAAGCACGGGGAGCAAACAGGAUUAGAUACCCCAGUAGUCCCUGUCUCUUAUAC
rnacentral:rRNA from 1 species